AUGGAGAACGUUCUGCUGGAUCGUUCGUCCGGAAGCUUCGAGUACCCCAAGAGGGGCGUCUAUGGCGGUAGGCCGGCGAGGCCGCACGGCGCGUACGGCUCCUCCCGCACGUGCCCGCAGUACCAUCACUUCCAGAAAAGUGGCGCAUGGAACUCCGCCCCGGCUCCCGCUCUUCCAUAUGCAUACCCGAGGCCGCCGAUAUACUCGUCGCCGUCUCUCCCUCUCCUGCCGUCCAACCAGCCACCCCUCCUGCCGCUCCCACCCACCGCCACCAAGUACGCCACUUUCUCCUACCCACCACCUCCAACACCGCCGCGUGCCGUCAGGCCGGCGGCGCCAACGGCCGUCGCGCCGGCUGCGGCGUCGCGCCAGCUGAGCCAGAGAGACAGGAGGAGGAGGCCGGUUAAGCCGCCGGCCGCAGAACCGGCAAGGGAGCAGAAAAAGAAGAAGCCGCUGGAGCGGGCGACGCCACUGCCGCCGGCGCCCGCGGUGACCGAGGCGCUGGACGACCUCGAGCAGGAGCUGGCCCGGAGCUGCCUCCAGGACCUGCUGCACGCGCUGGCACCGCCGCCCAGCAGCCUGCCGCUGCCCAGGUUCUCCCUCGUCGUCAAAGCGUCUCCCCACUCCGCCACGGCCGGCAAGGUGGUGCCGGCUGCCCCGUCCUGCAACGCUGAGGCGGCCACCGCCGACGGCCUCCGCCGCCUCCUCCGCCUCUAG
rnacentral:rRNA from 1 species